GAAUUAUUAAGACCCCCCUUGAGCUGCUAACUCAACUAAAAAUGGUUAAACUCCAUUUAUAAUUCU
rnacentral:tRNA from 1 species